GUAGUGUGUUACUUUCCAACAUGUCGUCUUACUGGAGACAAGCAGGGCUCAACUAUCUUAAGUAUUCUGCAGUCUGUGCAAGGGUGGUCAGACGAAGCCURAAGCCAGACUUUCAAGCUAAUGCAAUCAGGCAAGAGGAGUCUGCUG